rnacentral:rRNA from 1 species
CACGUAGGCGGCCCACCAAGUGUCUUGUGAAAUCCCUCGGCUCAACCGAGGAAUGGCUUGGCAAACUGGUGGGCUUGAGGCAGGUAGGGGCGCGUGGAACUCUUGGUGGAGCGGUGGAAUGCGUUGAUAUCAAGAGGAACGCCAGAGGCGAAAGCGACGCGCUGGGCCUGUCCUGACGCUGAGGUGCGAAAGCCAGGGGAGCGAACAGGAUUAGAUACCCUGGUAGUCC